rnacentral:lncRNA from 1 species
AAGUAAACACCAUCAAUGCUGAAAUAACAGUUAACAAAAAAAUAUUUCAUUUUGCUUUUUAAAAAGAAAUUACAUAUAGAUUUCCACUUCAGACAAUAGCAAGAAGUCCAGAACUUUACGACGCUGAGGCAGUUUUAUUUCUGUAAUUGCCUAAAGCAGUAAUAAGCCUGAGCCACACGACAUCCGACCAAUCAAUCACGACAAACAGGGGAAAAUUUCUAUGGUGUUUAUCCGGAGGACGGUCUGUGGGUUCGUGAUAAUUUUUUUCCUUAGAUAAUUCUGCCUUUUCCGAAAGCGCAUGUUGAUUUUUGGCCACGACACCGUCUUUUCAAUCACAGUAGCCUCCACUCGGACAAGAUCUCUCCCCAGGAGUGGUCUUCCGAUAAGCGUGAAAUCAUCAGCACCAACCAGCAAAACCUUUUCCAUCCGGAUUCGGUCUCCACAUUCAGCCUGCAGCACAUUGUCCAUCAUAAUUAAGUCUUCACUGGUUAUUUUGUACUGUUUGCUGGCAAAGUGGACCACAGCAAAGAGCCUCCCAUAUUGCCCUGUUGCAAUCAUCUCAUUCACCUUUUGUACCACUUCUGCAUGGUGCUUUGCUUCUUCCACUGGAUUUGGCAAUUUCACUUCAGGCCAUGGGGGUGAAGUCAGAGACGUUUUGGCAACAAUCCCUUCCUGUAGGGAUGUGCUCUGGGAGCUCUGGAGGCGAA